rnacentral:lncRNA from 1 species
GAGACCAACUUCAGAGAGCAGCAGAGGGGAAAGCAGUGAAAGACACUGAGCGCAAAGUAGAGGAAGGUUCUGUGUGUCUUUAAGCACCCAAUUCUGGUGCUCCUGAAGACCCAGGGCAGCACAGGAGAAUGUCUGCCCCAGCAAGAACCAGAAGGUCAGACCUGAACUCCCUGGAGAAAAUGGUCAACAAGACAACUCUGACCACCCAGAGAGUCCUCCAUACACACAUCCUGGCUCCAGACUCUCCUACAGUGCAGCUGCCUUUGGGAGGAAUGGCACAACCUGACCACCAGUGGAUGGAAGAGUUCCAGCAGUGGGCUGAAGAGGAGAAAGAGAAGGCCCUAAAGCUUCAAGAAGAGUGUCUACGAGCCCAGUUCCUGGAAGCUCUGCAGGCCAGGGAGAGACUGGAGGCUGAGGCCAUUCAGGAUGAGCAGAUGAACGUGGAAGUCCAGCUGAAGGCUCGUUGCGCUGGCCUGAGAGAGCAGAUGGAGGAGGAGAAGAGGGUGGAGGUGCAGGAGGCCUGCAGGAGACUGAGGGAGGAGAUGAGGAGAGAGGCUAAGAUGGAGAAAGAGAAGGAAAUGAGAGUCAUACAGGAACAAACAGAGGAGCGUGUGAGGGAGUGUGUGUCGACAGCAGUGCAGUGUGUGAGGGAGGAGUGCAAGAAGGAGGCUCUGAGAGAGAGACGGGCCCUGCAAGACAUACAUACUGAGGAAAUAUCCCAGCUCCACAACAGGCUGCAGCAGCUGCAGGACAGUCUGGUGCGGGUCUGCGGGGAGCGGAUGCAGUACGAGACGGAGCUUAAGAAGGUGCAGGCCAGUUACAGACAGUUUAUUGAUCUGACGGACUCCUCCCUCCACUCUGAUUACUUGUUGAAGCUCAGACGGCUGGGCAGGGAGCCUGGCCUCAUGGAGACCGCCACGCAGACUGAUGAGGUCACCGACAAAUCCUCCAUGGCCUGACUUCACCUCUCUAUAUAUUUUUAUUGCCACUUUGAACUCAUAUAGUAGCUUUAUUAUGCUGUAUAUUAUGUUGUGUGCUACGAAGAAGCUGAAAUGCCUUGCUACAGACGGUUAACUGUACUGUCUCAUACAGAAUAAAAGAUGCUGAAAUACAUU